rnacentral:rRNA from 1 species
AUUGAACGCUGGCGGCAUGCCUUACACAUGCAAGUCGAACGGAGAUGAGGUGCUUGCACCUUAUCUUAGCGGCGGACGGGUGAGUAAUGCUUAGGAAUCUGCCUAUUAGUGGGGGACAACAUUCCGAAAGGAAUGCUAAUACCGCAUACGCCCUACGGGGGAAAGCAGGGGAUCUUCGGACCUUGCGCUAAUAGAUGAGCCUAGGUCGGAUUAGCUAGUUGGUGGGGUAAAGGCCGACCAAGGCGACGAUCUGUAGCGGGUCUGAGAGGAUGAUCCGCCACACUGGGACUGAGACACGGCCCAGACUCCUACGGGAGGCAGCAGUGGGGAAUAUUGGACAAUGGGCGGAAGCCUGAUCCAGCCAUGCCGCGUGUGUGAAGAAGGCCUUUUGGUUGUAAAGCACUUUAAGCGAGGAGGAGGCUACCUGGAUUAAUACUCUAGGAUAGUGGGCGUUACUCGCAGAAUAAGCACCGGCUAACUCUGUGCCAGCCGCCGCCGUAACAC